AGGUCUUUUUGGAUGUGGCAGGGAGACGGUGGCUCUUUGGAGAGCAGCUGACAGUUUGUUUGAGACUUGGGGGGUCACUCAGGCCUCCCCUCUUCCUCCGCAGUGGGGCUGUCUGUGCUGUACCCUAAUGCUGGCCUUCAGUCCUGAAGGGCGGCAAAGCUCUUGUUUCUUUGUGAUUUCAGGGGAAGAUAAAAAUUAGCCACAGGGAUAACUGGCCAUUGUGCUGACCCAGCCUGCUGGAGUGUCCUGGAGAGUGAGCGAGUGCCCGUGGCAGCUGUACAGUGUCUUCAAGAGCCAGAGAAAAGAUAUUUUCAGUUUCUUGCUCCAAGAAGAUGAAGAUGUAUGGAAGCGGAGGAUUUGAAAACAGAAAAUCACAAAGCUCCACAAACACUAAGCAGAGCCACAGAUCAGGGACUUCAGCCCGCCCCCCCGGCUGAACACGGUUCAAUGUGGAUGCAUCGAGACUUAGCUAAGACCUGAGAGAGAACUCCACAGAUCUCCGCAGUUUACAGAUCACCGUAAGAGGUCUCUUAUUCCAUGGAACUACGCAGGUAGCACAGAAGAUGACUUUCGGAAAGGGCCAUCUUCCUGACUGCCACCACGUGAAUCAUUUCUGAGAGGCCAGCCGGGGGAAUCUAGCUUCCAUGGGACAGCACCGUCAGCAAACUCUCAGGAAGGAGGGGUCAAUCGCACCAAGUUCACAAAGUAAAACAAUAAUAACGACAACAGAACCAUACAGACGACAGGACCACCAGAUUUAGAAAAUGUCCUAAAUGUGCGUUUUAUUUCAUAUCAUUAUACAAUGUUUACAUAGUUAUAACUCUUAAGAAAAUGCCUUUUCUUUACCAAUUACA
rnacentral:lncRNA from 1 species